GUGAGCUACAUUUAAACCGAGACCAGGAGGGGCUGAUUUGUUUUGGCGCAGGGAACUGAGAAGGAGACGAGCCACCGAGGUCUCCUUGCUCCUCCUUGGAGGCUCCUUAACUUGUCCUUGCUGUCGCCGGCCCCGGGGACCAGCUUCCUUUGGCCCGGGUGGGUGAGCCCGGCUGCCCCCCCGCCCCCAGCCGCCGCCUGCGCAGCCCCGGCGCUGGGAAAUUUCGGUGCGAGCCGUGUAUGGGAGCGGGCGAUUGCAGGGGGUCCAGAGGUGGGGUUUUUUCCGUGUUUGUUGGCUUUUUCUUCCCCAGAAGUUAGAUAAAUUAUCGUCUGUGCGGCUCGCCGGUGCCUGUGCUGCUCAGCUCUUUUCAUACCAAAUGAAGUCCCUUCAAUUCUGGGAGCUUUCUGGUGAUUCCAAAGUGCAUCUGUGAGCCCACUUGGGGUUACACUCCUUGAGCCCUUGAGUUUCGUCUUCUCUUUGCUAUUGGUGACAACUUAGCUGACAACCAUUUGUUACAACUGGGAGCCAUUUGCUUGUGAUAAUUACGGCUACACUGAAAUGCAGGAACUUAAGAAUGAAGAUGAGCAGGAAGCUGUGGCCAUAACCCCCCCACCUACUUCACUUCUCUCGCCAGCUACUAAAUAUUGCAAAGCUCAUAAAUUGUGGAAGUUGGCAAAUCAGAACAUUGCUUAAGUUUAAAACUGAGACCUGGGGCCAGGACAUUUCAAUCCUGUAUUACCUGGAAUAUAUCAUUACUGACAGACUCGCUGGGAUUCGGUUUCUACCAGCUAUAAAGUGGGAUUCUCAAAUUAUGUCAUGCCAGCCUAGUUGCCUUUGAUGACAUGAUACACCAUUUGGAAAGGGAAAAGCCAUUAGACGUGACACAACUUGGCAUCCAUCAGCCUUUUGAUGCUGUUCCAUGUCCUGAUGAACUGAGGAAAUGCGAUCUGGGCAAAGCCCCUGUAGGAUGGGUGGGAAAUUGCUCUGAAACAGUGAUUAUCUUGUGGUUCCAGGUCAAAAUACCACGACCUCUUAAGCAAGGGUUUCUACUCAGCACGGUGCUGGACAGUAUUUUCAGGAACAUCCUGGAUGUUGGAAGAGGGUGUCCUUAUUAAAUACAGAAACUACACCAAGGUGAGAAAAACUGGAAGACAAGCUGACAAUUCUGCACGAGUUUCACAGGGUGGAGACUUGGGUCCUGAAACACGGUCUGUGGUGUCUAUUAUGGAAGUAGAGCUUGCAAGGCAGGAGGCAUUUCUUCCACUGGACUUGGCUCUGGUAAAACCUAAGCAGGAGUGUUGUCUAGUUUUGGGCUUAGGUACGGCUCUCCUAUUGCCUUCCAGGCUUGUGAGUCUAUGUUAAUAGCAGCUGCUUAUUUCACAGGGAUAUUUAAUUUAUUAUGGCAUGUAAGAAGAUCCCAAGAAUUGAGAAUAGUUAAGAAAUGAACAGAAAUAGGGUCUACACUGUACUUUAAUCUGAGGGGCUAGUCCUCCAGUCCAUCGGCAAAUGACUAUUCCUUCUUCAUCGUGAGCAUCAUUCACCUGAACAAGUCCUGCUUUUGUAACCUAAACUGUAAAGAUUCCGAUCUUUGUGGGGAAAUUUGGAAGGAACAGGAGCACUUCUGAGCCAUGUAUAUGUUAGCAAUACUUGCUGCCAUUACUGGGUAACAAACAUAAACCAAAAGCAACGGGUCAAGUAGUCUCAUUUGCUGGGACUGACAUUUCCAAAGGAGCGGGAUGAAGCUCUCCUGGCUUGAUACUCAGGUUAGCUCUGCCUUUUGUUUGCACAAGAAACCCCCCAGUAGCUAUAAGAAGCUAUUCCUAGAAGCUAAGGCCAGAAGGGGUUUACCGAGACCGCCAGCCCCAAUGCCGUGUGAGCAGGAGGUGCCAAAUGUCCACCUGGCAUCCCUCUACCAGGCCAGUAAAUUGUCGGCAUUGCCCCGGCCGAGCCCGGGGAGGGCUGGCUGGCACGGUCCCUUCUCUGUCCUGGGACCAGGCAUCCUGCAGCGCUGCAGGCCAGUGCAAGGCGACCGUGCCCGGUAUGUGCAGCAUGUGCAGCACUCCCGGGAGCGCUUCCAGCCAGGCUGGGCUCUUCUUGAUAAAGCGAUACCUGGAAAUAGGCUGCUGUUAGCAGCCCGCUUCCAGGUACCAUUGGUUUUGUGAGUCCGGCAUCCCACCUCCCUCACAUCGCAGAGGUCUGCAGGGCUGAGGGGCUACGGGGAAGAUGGCAAAUGAGAGCAGCCCCUAAACAACCCCCUGGGAAUUUAUCUGGGGGGGGAUCCUCAGGGGUCCCAAGCAAAAGGAGCCAUGGGGAAGAUGCUGUGGGGGGCUCAGCCGAAGCACCUCGGUGCUCGCUGACCUGGAGGCUGGACCUGCUGUGGUGUCUCACCCAGCCCUCAUCCUCCUGGGCAGAUGUGUAAAAGUGCGCCUUGCUUCUCUAGCCUGGUGUUGGCUGCUUUCUUGGCAAAUCUCGGGGAGACCAAGCCCUGCAGGCGACGUAAGAAGCAGAAACACCACGAACAAUGUUUUGACGCUCCGGGGAGAACAUUAUUACAUUUAUAGGCAAGAGGAGGAGAAGGGCUACAACAGCCUUCAAGAAGCUAAUGUCAUUCCCUACAUAGGGGUGUUAUGUGCGUAAAUCCCUCCACAUGCAGAUGAUAUCACGCCCCUAGUUUGCAGCUCUCUUGCUGGUAUCGCUGAAGCAUGCUUCUCCUCCAGGCAUGGCACUAAUAGGGCAGUUAACCCCUGCUGCCUCUGCUGCUCUUUGGCCACAAGCUCUGAGCAAGGGGACAACAUGCUCUUGCGCUGUUUAGCAGCAGGCCAAGAAUCUGCACCCAUCUGGGGGUCUCGAGCCUCAGCCUGGUUCACUCGUUGAGUUUUGGGAUGGGGGGGUCUAUUAUAUGUUGCCUGCAAGAGGGAGCAGAGGCUGCCUCCUCUGCAACUUCAUGGUGAACCUCAAGAUAAAGAAUUUUUUUUGAGAGAGACUCUUAAUCUAGUCAGUGGUCACUUCCACCUGCAUGCAUACAACACAACAGAUGAUAGUGUUUUUUAACACAGACAACCUAUAGAUUUCUAUGUCCCUUGCAGAUGUGCUUGGGCUGGUAUAGAAAUUGUUGCCUUCCAGAACCACCUUCUGAUCCCCCUGCCUGCCCUUGUUUGCUUAGGCACAGUAAAUAGCAAAAUCCCCAGCAUCUUCCUAGGACAUGCAUCCUAGGACAUGAGUUAUAAUUUGUCCUUGAUUUAUCAUUUUAAGAAAACACUGCCUUAGGACACGCAAGAGCAUGCACAGCUCAGGCUCUGGACUAACUCAUCUUCACCUCCCGUGAGCAUCUCUCUCCCUCAGCUCCUCGGCCUUGGUGGGAGAUGAGUCAAACCUUUCUCGAAUUGCCUUGAUCUGGAAGUGGGUGGCUUUGGAGUCCUUCAGGGCCCACGUGUGCGUCACCCUGAUGGGGUGAUUCACGCAGGAGCGGUUUUUCUGGAGCCUGAGUGUUUGCAGGCUCAGUCAUCCCGGUCCAGGGCCAGUCUAGUUAUCGACAGGGCUUUGCUGGAGGCUUACGUUGCUGUUGGUCAGCAUCAGAAGGUGGCUGUAAAGGUAGUAAAUAAAUGAAUGAAGCAAAUCCAGCUUUGGUGUAAGCAGCAAGUUCUCCUGCUGCUGUCAGGGGGCAUUGCAUCAGAGCCGGAUUGGGCUCCUGGGGAGGCGGCGCGAGCCAGCGGGCAAAGCAACAGGGGGAGUCAGAGACCUGGCUUUGCAACCUGCCUCUGCCACCCACUGCCCUCAUCGCCCCGAGCAAAUCACCUCUUCUCCCCUCCCAGCUUGGAUUGCUUGUAUUUCUGUAUACUGUAAGUUCGUUCCUCAAGGGAGGGGCUGCAUUUUACAGCUGCAAGCAGUAUAAGGGAUACCACUAACACCCAAAUAAUUGGCUGUCAGUUUGCAGAGUAGAAAAGAAAAUGGUGCGGUGUAACAUUCUGGAGUCCUUUUGGGUAAUAUAAGAUCUAUUGCAAAGCACUUUGGCUGCAACAACAAAGCUUAUUGAUUAGCCCGAAGUAUUCCAAAUUGGGUCUUUCUGCCCGAGAAGUAGCAGGAUGAAGAAUUAAAGUACUUACACAUGAGAAUAUUGUACAUGAGUUAUUAAGUAACAAUCAGCUCUACUCCAGCGCUGCUCAGUUCCUCUGGACUGCAUGUAACUUCUGAACAUUUUAUCUUUUUCCUUUGGCUUUUGCAGGCGUGUGCCAGCUUCUGCAGCAUAUAAACUAGGUGCUAUUUUUAUUGAAUCUGGCUUUAAUGUAGUAGAUUUUUCACACGUGUGUUGGUUUUUUAUUGUUGGUCUCAUUCCUGAACUUUCUGGCACCUCUAAGUGUAAAGUCAGUUAUGCGCACAUUGUUUGGCAGAUGAAUUUCUGUUUCUGGGAAUCAUUUUCCUUCUAAAAUGUAUUUUUAUAUUAAAAGUGUGAUCUGUAUCCAUAACCAAGAUAUACUGUCCUAAGACUCCAGCCCAAAGAUUUCUGCAGCCAGAGAUCACUACAACAGGGGAUGCAAUCCUGUAAGGAGACCUCCGCUUUCCAAGCCGUGAGCAUUUAUAUUAAGAUCUUGUUUUACUGAUUCAACCUCUGCCUCUUGGAGUAGGAAAAUUCCCUUCUGAUCUGGCACUGGGGAAAAUCCAGCCAGAAACAGAGGAUAAAAAGUGCUGUCUUCCAACGUUGCCUCCCUUUCCAGCUUGUCUCCCUGCUAGAUCAAGAGCAACCGCCCGUCUCGCCGAGCCUCCCUACUACCAGCUUUAUCCCAGCGACUGCCUCGGCAGCCCCCGGUCCUCCCUUCAGCAUCCCCAGGUCCCAUGUGAAAGGCGGGGGCUCGGGGAGCCAGCUGCCCACCCUUCCGUAGGUGCUGUCCCCCUUUUCUCCAUCUGUGCACAAGCUGCCAGGGAAGAAGUAACCGUGGCUGUGUGUGGUUUUCUCGCCCAGGGUGACCUGGAACACAUCUGCAAAGCCCUCCAAAGUAGCAGGAAUGCGCUCCGUUAGGACAUGAUUCAUCCUGCAUACCGCAUGGGUGGCUGCUCAGGGAGAAUUUUGACAUUUGCAUACGCUGAGACUUUCCACUUCUUGGUUGCCCUCGAACCCCUGCACUUUGUCUGGUUGAGCGCACGGGGGCUGCGCAGCCAGAAACCCCCUCCCGGAGGGGAUCUCCCCCAGCUGGAGCCAAUCCAGCGGUGGUGGUUCUCCCCCCGGCUGCGUCACGGGGCAGAAAUGAGAGGAGAAGCUGCUCACAGCCAGGCUGAAUGAGGGCUUUAGAGCCUCAGCCCCUGCUCCAAGCAAUGCUGGGAUGGAGCUGCUGGCCAGGUAUCCAUCAGGAAUUUGGUAUCUGCAGGGCAGGAAAAUAUUAUCACAGUCCUACCGCUCAGGCAAAACCAAAGCACGGCAAAGGGAAGUGCUAUGAACAGGAGGACUGAGUCACGCCCACUGCUUCUGGGAAGGAAAAGGAGUUGGGCAACGAGGCAAUUGUCUCUCUCUACCUUAGGGCUGCUCCUGGGUAACUGGAUUUACUUCAGCAGCUGCAGAGUGCGAGGCAGGUCAACCCCAGGCAGAGCGGGGAGAGAUGCUCCCAGGGCCGGGAGACGGCUCGCUGGGUUUUCCCAUCUGGCCCACCAUCAGCAGCGCUGCGUGGAGCGAGCGGGACACGGCUGCGAUAAAUGGGAAAGAUGGAGGAAUGGUGAAUAACGGUAAGGAAAGGUAAUGUCUUAGCGAUUAAAAAUAUAAUCAGUAUAUACAACCGGACCUGACUAUUUGAAAAAAUUAAUCUCACAGACCUAAUCUUGCUUCCUGUAGCCUAAAUAGCAUUUAAGUGGUGAAAGGGUGUUUUCCUGCUGGCAUGUGCAGGCUCUUAAGUAUCUCUAAUGUACAUAUAGCUCCAGUGAGGGAAACUAUUUCACCUGUACAGGUUAGUCUGCUUGAACUUACUGUCAUUCACUUUGGCAUCAAAACCAUAACUAGGCAAUCCUGGUACUUGGAGCACAGACCUGAAGUAAUAUGGUAAUGUGUUUAAAUCCUUUAACAUCAAGGGAACAUAAAUUUCAGGCUGUUCCCCAAAGUCUGCCAAAACUAGGUCUGACACCAAGUGCAACAUUUUAAAGAAAAAUUUCAACAAACACAAAUUUAGCAAAUAGGUAUUUACCUACCCAAAAAGAAACCCUGACACAGAAAGCAGCCCAAUGCCAUGGGAGCCGCGAGUAAAUACUGUGUAGUCCUAACUAGUAGGUGGAAAUACAUUUAAACAGUUAUCUAAUUAUGGUAUAAAUUUGGUUUGAGACACAGAGUUAAUAGCUAGGUUCGACAUGAAAUAGAAGAUUUAUGGUUUUUAAUUUAGUAUUUUAGAAGCAAAGUUAGGGUCUGACAAAACCCACUCAAGUCAACAGAAAGUCUCAUUCUAGCUUAAGUAGGCUUUAGAUCAAUUCCCUGGUGAGCACAGGCAU